rnacentral:miRNA from 1 species
AUUCCUAGAAAUUUUUCAUA